rnacentral:lncRNA from 1 species
GACUCCAAAAAUACAGAGAGCCAUUAAUCUGUAUCAGAUUCUUGCGUGCUCUCUCUCCCCAUCCAUCAUAUACAUGCAUGUUUUUUAAUACAUCCCCAAGCCCUUUUUUCAUCUGCUUAUGCAGGGUUAGAAUCUGGGGCACCCUGGUAUCUUCCUGUAUCCUAUGCUCUUGCUGCCUACCGUUUUUGGGGUUCACUGACAAAUCCUUGCUGACUGGAGUCGGGGUGUGUGGAGUGGAUCACUUCAAUUCAUGCCAGGAGAAGAAUCAUUAGAUUCUAAAUGCAUUCAGAAGACAGGGGGCAGAGAGACAGACUCGGAGGAUCACAGAGGCUCCUCAAAGCUGGUUUUGCAAAGCUGUGACAGAAAGCCUCAGAAAAGCACUGGAAGGCUGGCUUCUGCUUCAAUCUAUCAUGAGAAGCCAUCAAGAUGUUGCCUUUCUUGUACUGCCAUUAAAAAUGCAACAUCUGGCUUUAAAA